AGUGAACGCUGGCGGCGUGCCUAAUACAUGCAAGUCGAACGGAGUGGCGCACGGGGGAGUAAUAUAUAGCUAAUCUGCCCCUUGCUGGAGGACAACGGUUAGAAAUGACUGCUAAUACUCCAUAGAAAGGGAUGAGACUAUACCGUAUCAGCUAGUCGGUGGGGUAACGGCCUACCGAGGCUAGGACGCGUAACUGGUCGGAGAGGAUGAGCAGUAACAUUCGAACUGAGGCACGGGUCAAAAUCCUACGGGAGGGAGCAAUAGGGAAUAUUAGGAAAUGGGGGAAAGUCUGACGCAUCAACGCCUCGUGGAGGAUGACUGUUUGCGAAGCGUAAACACCUUUUUUAAUGAAAGCGGUACCUAACGAGUAAGCACCGGCUAACUCCGUGCCAGCAGCCGCGGUAAUUC
rnacentral:rRNA from 1 species